GGGGAGCGGCGCCGGCGAACCCUUGCGCUUGUAAUGAGAAGGUCAAGGGUUCGAUUCCCUUGGGCGGCUCCACCA
rnacentral:tRNA from 6 species